UACGUAGGGUGCGAGCGUUAAUCGGAAUUACUGGGCGUAAAGCGUGCGCAGGCGGUGAUGUAAGACAGAUGUGAAAUCCCCGGGCUUAACCUUGGAACUGCAUUUGUGACUGCAUAGCUAGAGUACGGUAGAGGGGGAUGGAAUUCCGCGUGUAGCAGUGAAAUGCGUAGAUAUGCGGAGGAACACCGAUGGCGAAGGCAAUCCCCUGGACCUGUACUGACGCUCAUGCACGAAAGCGUGGGGAGCAAACAGG
rnacentral:rRNA from 1 species